AGAGAGAGAGAGAGAGAGAUAAUAGUUCUGGUGGAAAGAGAGGUGGAAUACCUAAGGCCAUAUUCACAUAUUUUUAACGGGAUGGCUCAUUUAGAUCUGCAUAGGCGAUGAUGGGUGACCCGGACCUACCUCUCUCUCUCUCUCUCUCUCUCUCUCUCUCUCUCUCUCUCUCUCUUUGACGACAGACCCGCAUAGGGGCUAUUGACUUAAAAUUCAAGCUUCCAAGGGAUAUGAAGGCGUUCAUUAGAAAGUAGUAAUAGGAGGUAAUGAGAAAUACAGAAAGAAGUCACUUUUUGAAAAAUAAAAAAAAAAUAAAAAAAACUUUCGACAGUAAAAUACGUUUUUGUAAUACGUCAACAGUUAACAUAACGAGGAAUAGAAUUCACAAUCACUUGUUUUAGGUAUACGAAAGCUAUCUAGACAACAUAACUUUCGUGGAAUUUCGACUUCCAGUCAGUGCUUACGUUACAAUGAGAGGUAAGUCAUUCUCUUGUAAAAGCUUCAAAAUUUCACAGCUUCGUCGCCAUCAGCUUAACCAUCCUUGACUAGACUCGACAGAAAAAUGACAACGGAAGAGGCCGUGGUCCGUUGUCACUGUGCUAAUGGACUUUAGCAACUGAAAUAGCCGUUUUCGUCUUCAAGCUGCGUCUGGAGACCUCUGUCAAAAUAUCAGGAUGGAGUUCCAAGCAAUGAGGAAUGACAAUUUCUAUAGGACCAAUCGGAUGGUGGAAGAGCUCGGCAUUGAGGUUGGCUGCUUAGUGUUCAUAUUCGUCCUCUCUCUCCUUCUCGUCUCUGAGUUUCUGUAUUUGCUCGGCGUGUGGAGACCGCAGCAGGAAGUCUUGGUAGUUUUACGGAGACCCAGAAAUCGAGGCGGAUGAGAUAAAGUUCCAGAUAAAGUUCCAGAUAAGGUCAACGUCGAGAAACAAGGUUAAGGUCAAGAGGUCAUUGAUAUUCCAGUGCCUGAAUUUUUUUUUAACCAAUGGCAACUUAAUUUUUUUAAUCCCUUGUUUGUAAACAAGAGAUAUUGACCUGUUUAUAUUGACUGCCUUUUUUAAAUCCAGAGAAUUAUGUUUCUGUUCUGGAGCUGAAUCCUGAGCUUUAAAUGGAAUGUGAUUUUUUGACAUAAUUAGUUUUAAAUUUAAUUCGUUAUGAAUUUGACUUUUGUUGCAAAUGUAAUUUGAGUUUUAAAUGUAGUUCGUGUUUUCAAUGUAUUUUGAAUGCAAAUCCUGUAUUCAAUUAAAUUUUGAGUUUCAAAUGUUAUGCGUGUUUUAAAUACAUUUUGAGUCUUCAAAGUCAUUUGAAUUAAAAAUUCAAUUCUUGUUUUGAAUGAGAUUUGAAUCUUCAAUGUAAAAGUAAUUUUUUUAAAAUUUCAUUUGUGCUUAAAAUGAAAUUCGUUUUAAACUUAAUUCGUGUUUUUAACGUAGUUAGUGCUUUAAUAAUUUCAAGCUUCUUAUUUGUAUGACUGUAUAAUUUACAUAAUAAUUUCGACCUCAAUUUGAGGAUCUGAACGAUUGUGAAUGUGCAGAAUUUAGUUUAUUUUAUAAUUAGCUUUUAAACCUAUUGCAUGAUGUUGAAAUGGCAAUGUUUAUUUGUCAAAUUCUGAUGUUUUACUUUUAGAGAGCAGAUUGGAUUUUCACAUAGUGUUAUUUUUAUCUAGAAUUCGAACCCUUUGUGGAACUUUUAAGUUUGCUGUCAAAAUAAGAAAAAUUAUAAAGAAUUUGAUAUUUAGUUUCAUAUAUUGUUUGUCCUUGGUAAUACAUACGUUUUUAUUUUCAGACUAAAUACUUUAUACAAAAAAUAAACCUAUUGAUUUUAAAAGGUUCUGAAAUUUUGCAGUCUAACCUUGUCAAUAUUUUUUAAUUUAACAACUGUCUGUAAGAAUAAACUGUUGUAUUAGCUUUACAAACCUAAUCAGGAAUUGCAUUUUAACAUUUUUAUUCUGACUGAACGAAACUCUGCCUGAAAACUCCAUUUUUGACAAGGAUCCUAGAGUACAGAGGGCUUGAAAGUCUCUAUUUCCUUUUAACUUUGCUGUCCUUGACUCCGAGAGGGAAUCCAGUGGAAGCCAUAUUAGAGUUCGCGAAGCUCUGCUCUGGAGUGAAUUUCUGACUUGUGGUGUGGAACUGUUGACAUUCUUCAUUCUGAAGAGUUGAAGACCCCUUUUAAUAGAGAUGAAUCUCUCGAAAUCUACGAAACACGAGGAAAUCCGGGGGUUCCUCUGGAGACUGAAUGUUGAGGUCAUCAAAGCCUACAUCGGAGCCUUCAUGGCCCUCUGCCUCUGCCUGCUGGUAGUGGAACUGGUCGUCGAGAGACGAAGACAAUUUACUGCGUUGGACCCUGAGAGACGCCUGUGAAUUCGACAAAUGAGGAAUAAUUACCGAGAACUUUAUAUUUAUAAUCUUAGACUAUAAACUACUAACAAGCAGAUGUUUUCGCUCGUGGCAUAUUAUAAUUUUCAUUUUUAACUUUUGAGUUUUAAUGUUGCGCUUGUUUCAGUUCAUGUAAAUGAAGUUUGAGGAGCCAAAUUUUAUUUUUUAGUUGAGAAGCCCUGAUGAUUUCAAAAUUGUGUACUUUGAAAAAACAGAAGUAUAAUGUACAAAAUUGUAAUUAUCUAGUACAAUAAACUAUGAGAUAUCCA